rnacentral:rRNA from 1 species
AGCCAGGAAUGCCCGAAGCCAGUGGCCUAACCGCAAGGGAGGAGCUGUCGAAGGCAGGCCCGGUAACUGGGGUGAAGUCGUAACAAGGUAGC